AAUAGCCAAAAGUGAAAGAACUAAACUAAACAGUAUACAGGUACAAUGAUUAAAUUUUAAUCACAUACAUGCAUUCAACAUCUAAACUCUUUUACAUUCUUUUCAUCAUUUCUUUUAUACAUCACAUGAUCUCCAAAAUAUAAGCUUUUACAUUCAACCAUAAGCUUUCUUUACAUCGUUUAUAAUACUCAAAUCAUCAAAUACAAAAGAUGAUAUAA
rnacentral:lncRNA from 1 species